rnacentral:tRNA from 1 species
GCGCCCGUAGCUCAGUGGAUAGAGCGACCGCCUCCUAAGCGGUAGGUCGCAGGUUCAACUCCUGCCGGGCGCACCA